GGGUUGUGAGGUUAAGCGACUAAGCGUACACGGUGGAUGCCCUGGCAGUCAGAGGCGAUGAAGGACGUGCUAAUCUGCGAAAAGCGUCGGUAAGGUGAUAUGAACCGUUAUAACCGGCGAUGUCCGAAUGGGGAAACCCAGUGCAAUUCGUUGCACUAUCGUUAACUGAAUACAUAGGUUAACGAGGCGAACCGGGGGAACUGAAACAUCUAAGUACCCCGAGGAAAAGAAAUCAACCGAGAUUCCCCCAGUAGCGGCGAGCGAACGGGGAGCAGCCCAGAGUCUGAAUCAGCUUGUGUGUUAGUGGAACGGUCUGGAAAGUCCGACGGUACAGGGUGAUAGUCCCGUACACCAAAAUGCACAGGCUGUGAACUCGAAGAGUAGGGCGGGACACGUGGUAUCCUGUCUGAAUAUGGGGGGACCAUCCUCCAAGGCUAAAUACUCCUGACUGACCGAUAGUGAACCAGUACCGUGAGGGAAAGGCGAAAAGAACCCCGGCGAGGGGAGUGAAAAAGAACCUGAAACCGUGUACGUACAAGCAGUGGGAGCACCUUCGGGUGUGACUGCGUACCUUUUGUAUAAUGGGUCAGCGACUUAUAUUCUGUAGCAAGGUUAACCGUAUAGGGGAGCCGCAGGGAAACCGAGUCUUAACUGGGCGUUAAGUUGCAGGGUAUAGACCCGAAACCCGGUGAUCUAGCCAUGGGCAGGUUGAAGGUUGGGUAACACUAACUGGAGGACCGAACCGACUAAUGUUGAAAAAUUAGCGGAUGACUUGUGGCUGGGGGUGAAAGGCCAAUCAAACCGGGAGAUAGCUGGUUCUCCCCGAAAGCUAUUUAGGUAGCGCCUCGUGAACUCAUCUUCGGGGGUAGAGCACUGUUUCGGCUAGGGGGUCAUCCCGACUUACCAACCCGAUGCAAACUACGAAUACCGAAGAAUGUUAUCACGGGAGACACACGGCGGGUGCUAACGUCCGUCGUGAAGAGGGAAACAACCCAGACCGCCAGCUAAGGUCCCAAAGUCAUGGUUAAGUGGGAAACGAUGUGGGAAGGCACAGACAGCCAGGAUGUUGGCUUAGAAGCAGCCAUCAUUUAAAGAAAGCGUAAUAGCUCACUGGUCGAGUCGGCCUGCGCGGAAGAUGUAACGGGGCUAAACCAUGCACCGAAGCUGCGGCAGCGACACUAUGUGUUGUUGGGUAGGGGAGCGUUCUGUAAGCCUGCGAAGGUGUGCUGUGAGGCAUGCUGGAGGUAUCAGAAGUGCGAAUGCUGACAUAAGUAACGAUAAAGCGGGUGAAAAGCCCGCUCGCCGGAAGACCAAGGGUUCCUGUCCAACGUUAAUCGGGGCAGGGUGAGUCGACCCCUAAGGCGAGGCCGAAAGGCGUAGUCGAUGGGAAACAGGUUAAUAUUCCUGUACUUGGUGUUACUGCGAAGGGGGGACGGAGAAGGCUAUGUUAGCCGGGCGACGGUUGUCCCGGUUUAAGCAUGUAGGCUGGUUAUCCAGGCAAAUCCGGAUAAUCAAGGCUGAGGUGUGAUGACGAGGCACUACGGUGCUGAAGUAACAAAUGCCCUGCUUCCAGGAAAAGCCUCUAAGCAUCAGGUAACAUCAAAUCGUACCCCAAACCGACACAGGUGGUCAGGUAGAGAAUACCAAGGCGCUUGAGAGAACUCGGGUGAAGGAACUAGGCAAAAUGGUGCCGUAACUUCGGGAGAAGGCACGCUGGUGUGUAGGUGAAGUCCCUGCGGAUGGAGCUGAGACCAGUCGAAGAUACCAGCUGGCUGCAACUGUUUAUUAAAAACACAGCACUGUGCAAACACGAAAGUGGACGUAUACGGUGUGACGCCUGCCCGGUGCCGGAAGGUUAAUUGAUGGGGUUAUCCGUAAGGAGAAGCUCUUGAUCGAAGCCCCGGUAAACGGCGGCCGUAACUAUAACGGUCCUAAGGUAGCGAAAUUCCUUGUCGGGUAAGUUCCGACCUGCACGAAUGGCGUAAUGAUGGCCAGGCUGUCUCCACCCGAGACUCAGUGAAAUUGAACUCGCUGUGAAGAUGCAGUGUACCCGCGGCAAGACGGAAAGACCCCGUGAACCUUUACUAUAGCUUGACACUGAACAUUGAGCCUUGAUGUGUAGGAUAGGUGGGAGGCUUUGAAGCGUGGACGCCAGUCUGCGUGGAGCCAACCUUGAAAUACCACCCUUUAAUGUUUGAUGU
rnacentral:rRNA from 1 species